rnacentral:rRNA from 1 species
UGGGGAAUUUUGGACAAUGGGGGAAACCCUGAUCCAGCCAUCCCGCGUGUGCGAUGAAGGCCUUCGGGUUGUAAAGCACUUUUGGCAGGAAAGAAACGUCGCGGGUUAAUACCCCGCGAAACUGACGGUACCUGCAGAAUAAGCACCGGCUAACUACGUGCCAGCAGCCGCGGUAAUACGUAGGGUGCAAGCGUUAAUCGGAAUUACUGGGCGUAAAGCGUGCGCAGGCGGUUCGGAAAGAAAGAUGUGAAAUCCCAGAGCUUAACUUUGGAACUGCAUUUUUAACUACCGGGCUAGAGUGUGUCAGAGGGAGGUGGAAUUCUGCGUGUAGCAGUGAAAUGCGUAGAUAUGCGGAGGAACACCGAUGGCGAAGGCAGCCUCCUGGGAUAACACUGACGCUCAUGCACGAAAGCGUGGGGAGCAAACAGGAUUAGAUACCCUGGUAGUCCACGCCCUAAACGAUGUCAACUAGCUGUUGGGGCCUUCGGGCCUUGGUAGCGCAGCUAACGCGUGAAGUUGACCGCCUGGGGAGUACGGUCGCAAGAUUAAAACUCAAAGGAAUU